rnacentral:lncRNA from 1 species
UAAUCGAUUUCAACCCACCCCACCUUUUUCCUUCUCUAACUUCUUUACCUAUAACAACAAUAUUUCAUCACUCCUCUUUUAAAAAAAAAUCUAUUCAAAAAUCGAAUAUUUAGGCCUCUCAUUCUUCAAUUGUGAUUGGGCAUGGUGAGUGACACCAAUCUUUUUUCCUUUUUCUUUUUGAGACAUAAUUAUACCUUUCCAAAGGGGAGAAAAAGUAAAAAUACAUUUGUAAAAGAAUUAGUUUUGAUAUUUAAAACGAUGGAC